rnacentral:rRNA from 1 species
GACGAACGCUGGCGGCGUGCUUAACACAUGCAAGUCGAACGGUGAAGCGCUUUCCUUUUUGGUUGGUGUGGAUGAGUGGCGAACGGGUGAGUAACACGUGAGUAACCUGCCCCCUUCUUCUGGAUAACCGCAUGAAAGUGUGGCUAAUACGGGAUAUUCUGCGCCUGCUGCAUGGUGGGUGUGGGAAAGAUUGUGCCUUUGGGUGUUUUCGGUGGGGGAUGGGCUCGCGGCCUAUCAGCUUGUUGGUGGGGUGAUGGCCUACCAAGGCGGUGACGGGUAGCCGGCCUGAGAGGGGGGACGGUCACACUGGGACUGAGACACGGCCCAGACUCCUACGGGAGGCAGCAGUGGGGAAUAUUGCACAAUGGGCGCAAGCCUGAUGCAGCGACGCCGCGUGAGGGAGGGAGGCCUUCGGGUUGUGAACCUCUUUCGCCAGUGAAGCAGGCCUGCUCCUUGUGGGUGGGUUGACGGUAGCUGGAUAAGAAGCGCCGGCUAACUACGUG